UAUAAAAUUAAACAUUUCCUCGGUAUUUCCAAGUUUGUAAAAUGCUCGUUCACGCGUCACGCACCGGUGCAUCAUCCUCGUCGCUUGAAUCGCUUUACGAGCCGCGCUAACACGCGCAUCGGUCAGCCCCCCAUGAAUUUAUCCCGGUGAAUUUAUCGGCACGUGGACGCCCGAGAAUUUAUGGGAAACAGAGGGGACGAAGGAUCAAUGAUGGUCACCAAUUUUCUUCUCUUUCUUUUCAUCUUCAAUCACUUGUAUAUUGAAAACAAAAAUGUGCAUCACAUUUCAAAAUGGGUAGAUGUUCUCCAGUUAUGUCCAAGAAUUCUCCUCCAUAGGAAAGAAAAUAUAUUAAAAAUAAAACUUCAGAUUGCAAAUGGUAAAAGAUUCU